UUUUGAGGGGGUGAAUCUUUUUCCAUCUCCUGAGUCGCGCCUCCCCUGGUCAGCAAAGGGUCACUGCCGCAAUGGAGUCAUCCAAACUCAGAGGAUUAAUACACAUCCAUUUAUUGACAGCGUUCUUAACAACUGACAACAGCCCACUGGAGGUAACGUUGCCUAAUGGGCUAAUUACAAUUCAUAAGCCUUACAGGUAACCAGCUGAAGGAAAUGGCUGCUACGAAGACUCAAAGAAUCCAAGAAGCCACGUCCUGGCGUCAGGUGCACAUCUUCAGUCUGAUGGGUCGUCGGAGGUGGUGGUGUUCAGUUGACGACGACAGUACCAACUUAUUUGUAAGUCCAAAGUGGUGGCACUCAGCCGCCUGCCGGCACUGCCCCACAGCUGUGCCUGUGCGCCCCUGGGGGCAGGAGCACAGGAGAGGCCCCUUCCGUGGGGACAGAGCUCUCUCCCUGCACCCCACCACUGCGCAGCCCCGAGCUGGGAGGGGGGACUGAGAGGGGCGGUCAGAUGGGCAGCAGCCCAUCACAGACGACACGCAGGCUCCUGCUCGCAAAGUACGCCGGGGAAGCGUACAUUGCCUGGGGCAGCACUCGCAGCAGGAGCCGAUACAACAGCUCCUGGUCAUAGUGCUGGGCGUACAGCACUGCAGAGCCCAGCACGGCAACGAGCAGCAGCAGGAGGCUGACGAAGAUGAGGCAGAUUGUCCUGGGGGGCAAAAGACGGCCGGGCUGGGAAUGAGGCGUUCCGACCCCACGGCAGCACAGCCCCACACAGCACCAAAGGGGCCGCCCGGGAGCCCCGCCGGCUGCAGCGGGGUCCAGGCCAUCAGCCCACUGCCUGGAGCCCGGCUGCUGCUGGCUGGGCACAGGGCAAUGAGGGGAUACUCACUUCAUCCAGAAGGCGAGCCCUCGUCUCCUCGCCUGCUCCUUCUUCUCCUGUAGGUGAAGAUGGGGCAGGGGCGCUGGUCAGGCCCUGCUGCACAGCCGGAGCUCGUGCAGGACAGUGGCAGCCCCAGCACUGCAGGGAGCCCUGUCCCCGAGGAGAACCUUGUCGGACAGGGUGAGGGUGCGCUGGGCUCUGCCCCUUACCAGCUCUGCCUCCACCAGCUCCGGCAGCACAGCCCCAGGCACGUGGGCUGCCUCCAGCUCCAGCUGAUGCUGCUGCCUGUAGGGAACAAGGCCUGCUUGGAGGGUGCCGGCCUCUGUCAGCACGCGGGCUCCCCAGCAGUGCGUGCCCACCCCCGGGCUGGGGUCGGGCUGCUCUGUCACACCAUAUGCUGAACAGAACCCGAGCCCCAAGCCCAGCAGCACUUGCAGACUCCUGAAAAAUACCAUUGUAUCCACACAGCCACUGAGCGGUUGACCACAACUCUGGCUGUGACCAUCCAUCCAAUUCGACAUACAUUCAGGUAGACGGAAAGUGCCAUCCUCUCACCAUCUACCCUCCAGGGUAGAUCCAUCAGCUCCUUUUGGCCUUCCAGCACGCCACACAGAUGAAAUCUCACCGUGACCUUUCAAGUCACAUGCCUGAUGCUGACCUUGCAGGCAAUCAGCUUCCCAGGCAGAAGGGAUCUCUCAAUCCACCUGCCAAGCGGGUGCCUUCUGCUGGCUUACCAGACACACGGGGAUGACCAUGAGCUGCAUUCCUAAAGGUACAGAGCUCAGCCCGGAAUUAAAGGCUGUCGUAUUGGCUACUACAGAAAGAAUGUCUUCCAAGGCCCUUUGCCAGCCUUGUUCCUGCUGCAGGUCUGUCACUUCCAGAGACAGAAAUAACCUCUCAAACAGCAUCUCAGCCACAUGUUUGGUACAAGGUGGUGAGUUCUGCUUGCACAAGUGACCUCACAGCAAAGUAUCCAUGCGUAUACUCAUCUAUAACGUAGCAGAACUUCCCCUCUGGUUGAGGAGGGGAUGGUCCAGAAGAGUCUGGGUGGGAUCAGUGUGGGAUCAGCACAAAUCCAUGGGUCCCGAUGGGAUGCAUCCACGUGUGCUGAGGGAGCUGGCAGAGGUGACUGCUGAACUGCUCUCUGUCGUCUUCGAUAGGCCCUGGAAAACAGGAGAGGUGCCUGAAGACUGGAGGAUAGCCAGUGUCCCUCUGGUGUUCAGAAAGGGCAAGGAGGAGGGUCUGGGAAACUACAGGCCAGUCAGUCUCACCUCUGUCCCUGGGAAGGUGAUGGAACAGCUGAUUCUGGAUGCCAUCUCCAAGCAAUUGGAAGAGAAGAAGGAUAUGAGGAAUGGUCAGCGUGGGUUCACCAAGAGGAAAUAGCGCUCGGCCAACCUGGUGGCCUUCUGUGAUGGCAUCACAGGUUGGGUGGAUGGGGGUGAGAUCAGGAGCUCAGGUGGGUCUGGGGUUUGAACACAUAGGGGUUAAAUAAGCUAGCUUUAGAAACCAGGGAAGGAGAACGACAUCUCAACAUUUCAUGGUCAGCUGUGCAAACACAAAGAAAGGAAACGAUGCAAAAGGAAUGGCUUUGACUGGUUUGAAUGCACCGUAAGAAGGUCAGACCGAGGAAGACGUGAAGCCUUCGCGAGGAACACUUCUGACUUCAUCCCCACGACCACCAGAGGGAGACCCCUCUUAAGGACAGCGCGUGCGCCGGGGGAGGGGCAGUAUGUAAAUGAAUUUCCGGAAGGAUAAUGAAUAUGUAGAUGACUUCCAAGAAUUCUGCUGAAUAUGUAUGGCUUUGGCUUACAAAUCCGUAGCGCUUUUUGCUCGCUGGUGUGCAAGUUUGGUGGAGUGAUCCCCCUUGCACCCGGCCAGCCAAAUAAACAUACCUGCUUUAUAACCUAACCGGGUAUAGAGUUUGAUUCCACACAUCACUGCCAUUCCUGAGUGGUUGGCACUCCGUUUUCUAACUGCCGUUCCCGUGCUGCUUCCGAGGGAGCGUUUCCCAUUGAGCCCACCUACUUCUUCCCCUUUUUUCACCGUCAGCUUCAUCGCUGAGCCCUCUGACUGCCUUUCAUUCACUUUCCCCCAGUUUGGAAGAUUCCCAUUGCUUAUUAGGCCACAGCGAGACACGUUUAUAAAACACAAAUGUGGAACCCG
rnacentral:lncRNA from 1 species